rnacentral:rRNA from 1 species
CAAGGGGAGUGAAAGAGUACCUGAAACCGAUUGCCUACAAACAGUGGGAGCCCGUCCUUCAAAUCGCUUGACGAUUUGAAGAACUUUUGAUUUUGCCAUCAAGAGCGCAAGCGCUUUGAUGGGCGGGUGACCACGUACCUUUUGUAUAAUGGGUCAGCGACUUAGUGUGACGAGCAAGCUUAAACCGAUAGGUGUAGGCGCAGCGAAAGCGAGUCUGAACAGGGCGUUCAGUUCG